CGAGCGAAAGCGAGAAAGCGUUGCCGCAGGCAACGACCCGAAGGGCGAAGCGCGCAGCGCUGAGUCAUCCUUCCCCCCUCAUCC
rnacentral:sRNA from 1 species